rnacentral:lncRNA from 1 species
CACACAAAUCACACAAAUCACAUCACACAAAUCACACAAAUCACAUCAUCCAAAUCACCCAAAUCCCACAAAUCACCAAAAUCACACAAAUCACACAAAUCACAUCACUCAAAUCACACAAAUCACACAAAUCACACAAAUCACCCGAAUCAAAUCACCCAAAUCACACAAAUCACCCAAAUCCCACAAAUCACCCGAAUCACACAAAUCACCUGAAUCACACAAAUCACCCGAAUCACACAAAUCACACAAAUCACUCAAAUCACAUCACCCAAAUCAUACAAAUCACCCAAAUCACCCAAAUCACACAAAUCACUCAAAUCACCCAAAUCACAUAAAUCACUCAAAUCACCCAAAUCACACAAAUCACCCAAAUCACCCAAAUCACAUAAAUCAUCACCCAAAUCACCCAAAUCACGCACACCCGGCUGAACCGAGACCCCCUCGGGAGCUUUUAAUCCUCGUCCGUCCCCCCCCAGCCCCCCGCCAGAGACCCCAGGCCGGGCCCCCUGCCCUGCCCCGGGGGGGCUCCCCCUCCCUCCCGGGGGGUCACGGCGUAGAUCUCGAUGUCCCCCUCGGGCUCCCUCCGCAGCAGCCGCACCCCAAAAAACGGGGGCAGCAUCUGGCGGAAGAAGCGGGAGGCUCCGGCAUCGCCGCCCCGCAGGCGGGCGCUGAGCAGCGCCUGGGCCGGGGGCACCACCAGGUGCCGGAGGGUGCCCAGGAGCGGGGCGAAGGCGCGGGGGUCGUACACGAUGUCGGAGCCCAGGAUGAGGUGGAAUUUGGGGGGGAAGCGGCGCUGGUCGCGCCCCCAGCGCAGCGCCCGCACCCGCGGUGCCCCCGCGCCCCCCGGGAAGUUCCGCCGCGCGUUCUCCCGGAGCUGCGGCAGCACCGGCGGCCGAUCCGUCAGCGUCACCUCCGCCCCUGCACGGCAGUGCGCCCGUCAGGGGGGCACAGUAACCCCCCCAGACCCCAAUUAACCGUGGGUCAGAGCCGCCACCCCAAAAUCCCAGUGGAACCUCACCCGCCACCCCAAAAUCCCAGUGAAACCUCACCCACCACCCCAAAAUCCCAGUGGAACCUCACCCGCCACCCCAAAAUCCCAGUGAAACCUCACCCGCCACCCCAAAAUCCCAGUGAAAGCUCCCCGAUACCCCGAAAAACCCCGGGUCAGAGGGACCUCCCCAAACCCUCCUCGACCUAAAGAAACCUCGAGUCAAAAAGGGGGUUAAACCCCCCCGGGACCCCCGGAUCCCAAUAAACUCCAGGGCUGCUCACUCCA